AAAAUAAAUAAAAAAAAGAGCCGAAAAAAGUGAAAGGCCUGGGAGCGAAGCGGCAGAGAAUGGCAGGGAAAGCCGGCGGCCUCAAGGGCGUCGCCCUCAUCGGCGGCGCCGGCGGCAACAGCGCGGUCGCCGGCGCCCUCCACUUCUUCCAGGACCCCUCCACCGGGUAUACCGAGGUGAGGGGGAGGGUCACCGGCCUCGCUCCGGGCCUCCAUGGCUUCCACAUCCACUCCUUUGGCGACACCACCAACGGCUGCAACUCUACCGGGCCCCAUUUUAAUCCUCACAAUAAGUCCCAUGGGGCACCAUCUGAUGAUGAAAGACAUGUGGGCGACCUGGGAAACAUAGUAGCCAACAAAGAUGGUGUUGCAGAUAUCUUCAUAAAGGACCUACAGAUUUCACUAAGCGGGCCUCAUUCCAUAUUGGGAAGGGCAGUUGUUGUUCAUGCUGAUUCUGAUGACCUAGGAAGGGCUAUGGUUGAUAUGGGAUUAUUCGGUGUUCCAAAGCUGCCUGAGAUUUGGCUCUUCAACCUUGAGUGUAACUACUAGUAAAAAUCAUAUUCAUAAGACAGGUGGUCAUGAACUCAGUAAAACAACAGGAAAUGCAGGAGCAAGAAUUGGAUGCGGUAUCAUUGGACUUCGAUCUGCAGUUUAACAAUCUAUAGUCAUGAAGCUUGAGGUGGUGGUGGUAUGCUGUUCAGAGAUAUGGAAAUCAUUGGCGCUCCUCAUUCCAGACUGUUUCAAGAAUGGCUUUUGACGUGUUAUCACUGCCUUCAGUUAUCUAUACGUACUUUGUUACGGAGUAUAUUCUUUUUUUGAACGAACAUACGGAGUAUAUUCUAUAAAUAAAGGAAAAGUUUCCUCAUACUUAUACUGUACCUUGGACUGAAGCUGUGCAAACUCACAAUAAUGUGUUACUAUUUCUCAAUCUUCAGCUUACAAGCGAUGCUGCUUUGAAUUUGGCCA